rnacentral:rRNA from 1 species
UGGGGAAUUUUGGACAAUGGGCGAAAGCCUGAUCCAGCAAUGCCGCGUGUGUGAAGAAGGCCUUCGGGUUGUAAAGCACUUUUGUCCGGAAAGAAAUCCUUGGCUCUAAUACAGUCGGGGGAUGACGGUACCGGAAGAAUAAGCACCGGCUAACUACGUGCCAGCAGCCGCGGUAAUACGUAGGGUGCAAGCGUUAAUCGGAAUUACUGGGCGUAAAGCGUGCGCAGGCGGUUUGCUAAGACCGAUGUGAAAUCCCCGGGCUCAACCUGGGAACUGCAUUGGUGACUGGCAGGCUAGAGUAUGGCAGAGGGGGGUAGAAUUCCACGUGUAGCAGUGAAAUGCGUAGAGAUGUGGAGGAAUACCGAUGGCGAAGGCAGCCCCCUGGGCCAAUACUGACGCUCAUGCACGAAAGCGUGGGGAGCAAACAGGAUUAGAUACCCUGGUAGUCCACGCCCUAAACGAUGUCAACUAGUUGUUGGGGAUUCAUUCCUUAGUAACGUAGCUAACGCGUGAAGUUGACCGCCUGGGGAGUACGGUCGCAAGAUUAAAACUCAAAGGAAUUGACGGGGUCAUAGCUGUUUCCU